CCUACGGGCGGCAGCAGUGGGGAAUAUUGCGCAAUGGGCGAAAGCCUGACGCAGCGACGCCGCGUGAGGGAUGAAGGUCUUCGGAUCGUAAACCUCUGUCAGCAGGGAAGAACGGUCCCUGUGCUAAUCAGCAGUGAAUUGACGGUACCUGCAAAGGCAGCACCGGCUAACUCCGUGCCAGCAGCCGCGGUAAUACGGAGGGUGCGAGCGUUAAUCGGAAUUACUGGGCGUAAAGCGCGCGUAGGCGGUAUGUCAAGUCAAGGGUGAAAGCCCCGCGCUCAACGUGGGAACUGCCUUUGAAACUGGCAGACUGGAGUGUGUGAGAGGAUAGUAGAAUUCCAGGUGUAGGGGUGAAAUGCGUAGAUAUCAGGAGGAACAUCGGUAGCGAAGGCGGCUAUCUGGCACGAAACUGACGCUGAGGAGCGAAAGCGUGGGUAGCAAACAGGAUUAGAUACCCCUGUAGUC
rnacentral:rRNA from 1 species